GCUUGCGGCGUGCUUAACACAUGCAAGUCGAACGGAAAGGCCCUGCUUUUGUGGGGUGCUCGAGUGGCGAACGGGCGAGUAACACGUGAGUAACCUGCCCUUGACUUUGGGAUAACUUCAGGAAACUGGGGCUAAUACCGGAUAGGAGCUCCUGCUGCAUGGUGGGGGUUGGAAAGUUUCGGCGGUUGGGGAUGGACUCGCGGCUUAUCAGCUUGUUGGUGGGGUAGUGGCUUACCAAGGCUUUGACGGGUAGCCGGCCUGAGAGGGUGACCGGCCACAUUGGGACUGAGAUACGGCCCAGACUCCUACGGGAGGCAGCAGUGGGGAAUAUUGCACAAUGGGCGGAAGCCUGAUGCAGCAACGCCGCGUGCGGGAUGACGGCCUUCGGGUUGUAAACCGCUUUCGCCUGUGACGAAGCGUGAGUGACGGUAAUGGGUAAAGAAGCACCGGCUAACUACGUGCCAGCAGCCGCGGUGAUACGUAGGGUGCGAGCGUUGUCCGGAUUUAUUGGGCGUAAAGGGCUCGUAGGUGGUUGAUCGCGUCGGAAGUGUAAUCUUGGGGCUUAACCCUGAGCGUGCUUUCGAUACGGGUUGACUUGAGGAAGGUAGGGGAGAAUGGAAUUCCUGGUGGAGCGGUGGAAUGCGCAGAUAUCAGGAGGAACACCAGUGGCGAAGGCGGUUCUCUGGGCCUUUCCUGACGCUGAGGAGCGAAAGCGUGGGGAGCGAACAGGCUUAGAUACCCUGGUAGUCCACGCUGUAAACGGUGGGUACUAGGUGUGGGGUCCAUUCCACGGGUUCCGUGCCGUAGCUAACGCUUUAAGUACCCCGCCUGGGGAGUACGGCCGCAAGGCUAAAACUCAAAGGAAUUGACGGGGCCCCGCACAAGCGGCGGAGCAUGCGGAUUAAUUCGAUGCAACGCGUAGAACCUUACCUGGGUUUGACAUGGAUCGGGAGUGCUCAGAGAUGGGUGUGCCUCUUUUGGGGUCGGUUCACAGGUGGUGCAUGGCUGUCGUCAGCUCGUGUCGUGAGAUGUUGGGUUAAGUCCCGCAACGAGCGCAACCCUUGUUCACUGUUGCCAGCACGUUAUGGUGGGGACUCAGUGGAGACCGCCGGGGUCAACUCGGAGGAAGGUGGGGAUGACGUCAAGUCAUCAUGCCCCUUAUGUCCAGGGCUUCACGCAUGCUACAAUGGCUGGUACAGAGAGUGGCGAGCCUGUGAGGGUGAGCGAAUCUCGGAAAGCCGGUCUCAGUUCGGAUUGGGGUCUGCAACUCGACCUCAUGAAGUCGGAGUCGCUAGUAAUCGCAGAUCAGCAACGCUGCGGUGAAUACGUUCCCGGGGCUUGUACACACCGCCCGUCAAGUCAUGAAAGUUGGUAACACCCGAAGCCGGUGGCCUAACCGUUGUGGGGGAGCCGUCGAAGGUGGGACUGGUGAUUAGG
rnacentral:rRNA from 1 species